GACGAACGCUGGCGGCGUGCUUAACACAUGCAAGUCGAACGAUGAAGCCGGAGCUUGCUCUGGUGAAUUAGUGGCGAACGGGUGAGUAACACGUGAGUAACCUGCCCUUGACUCUGGGAUAACUGCGGGAACCUGUAACCAAUACCGGACACGACCCCCGGAGGCAUCUCCUGGGGGUGGAAAGAAUUUCGGUCAAGGAUGGACUCGCGGCCUAUCAGCUAGUUGGUGAGGUAAAGGCUCACCAAGGCGACGACGGGUAGCCGGCCUGAGAGGGUGACCGGCCACACUGGGACUGAGACACGGCCCAGACUCCUACGGGAGGCAGCAGUGGGGAAUAUUGCACAAUGGGCGCAAGCCUGAUGCAGCAACGCCGCGUGAGGGAUGACGGCCUUCGGGUUGUAAACCUCUUUUAGCAGGGAAGAAGCGAAAGUGACGGUACCUGCAGAAAAAGCACCGGCUAACUACGUGCCAGCCGCCGCGGUAA
rnacentral:rRNA from 1 species